rnacentral:rRNA from 1 species
GAUGAACGCUGGCGGCGUGCCUAAUACAUGCAAGUCGAGCGAACGGACGAGAAGCUUGCUUCUCUGAUGUUAGCGGCGGACGGGUGAGUAACACGUGGAUAACCUACCUAUAAGACUGGGAUAACUUCGGGAAACCGGAGCUAAUACCGGAUGAUAUUUUGAACCGCAUGGUUCAAAAGUGAAAGACGGUCUUGCUGUCACUUAUAGAUGGAUCCGCGCUGCAUUAGCUAGUUGGUAAGGUAACGGCUUACCAAGGCAACGAUGCAUAGCCGACCUGAGAGGGUGAUCGGCCACACUGGAACUGAGACACGGUCCAGACUCCUACGGGAGGCAGCAGUAGGGAAUCUUCCGCAAUGGGCGAAAGCCUGACGGAGCAACGCCGCGUGAGUGAUGAAGGUCUUCGGAUCGUAAAACUCUGUUAUUAGGGAAUAACAUAUGUGUAAGUAACUGUGCACAUCUUGACGGUACCUAAUCAGAAAGCCACGGCUAACUACGUG